rfam:Ovis aries breed Texel chromosome 16, whole genome shotgun sequence.
UCCCAGGUGGCUUAGAUAGUGAAGCGUCUGUCUAUAAUGCGGGAAACCCAGGUUUGAUCCCUGGGUUGGGAA